UACGGAGGGUGCAAGCGUUAAUCGGAAUUACUGGGCGUAAAGCGUGCGCAGGCGGUUUGUUAAGUCCGUUGUGAAAGCCCCGAGCUCAACUUGGGAAUUGCAGUGGAUGUUGGCAGGCUGGAGUACGGUAGAGGAAGGUGGAAUUCCCGGUGUAGCAGUGAAAUGCGUAGAUAUCGGGAGGAACACCAGUGGCGAAGGCGGCCUUCUGGACCAGUACUGACGCUCAUGCACGAAAGCGUGGGGAGCAAACAGG
rnacentral:rRNA from 1 species